rnacentral:rRNA from 1 species
CUGCUGCCUUCCGUAGGAGUUUGGUCCGUGUCUCAGUACCAAUGUGGGGGGUUAACCUCUCAGUCCCCCUAUGUAUCGUCGCCUUGGUGAGCCGUUACCACACCAACCAGCUAAUACAACGCAUGCCCAUCAUCAACCACCGGAGUUUUCAACCCCAUGCGAUGCCGCAUGAGAUAUUAUGGGGUAUUAGUACCAAUUUCUCAGUGUUAUCCCCCUGUUGAUGGUAGGUUGCAUACGCGUUACGCACCCGUGCGCCGG